GGAAUCUUGUACAAUGGGGGAAACCCUGAUGCAGCGACGCCGCGUGAGCGAUGAAGCCCUUCGGGGUGUAAAGCUCUUUCGACGGGAACGAUAAUGACGGUACCCGGAGAAGAAGCUGCGGCUAACUACGUGCCAGCAGCCGCGGUAAUACGUAGGCAGCAAGCGCUGUUCGGAGUUACUGGGCGUAAAGAGUGCGUAGGCGGUUGCGUAAGUUUGUUGUGAAAUCUCCCGGCUUAACUGGGAGGGUGCGGCGAAAACUGCGGGGCUGGAGUGUGGGAGAGGUAAGCGGAAUUCCUGGUGUAGCGGUGAAAUGCGUAGAUAUCAGGAGGAACACCGGCGGUGUAGACGGCUUACUGGACCAUGACUGACGCUGAGGCACGAAAGCGUGGGGAGCAAAC
rnacentral:rRNA from 1 species